UACGUAGGGUGCAAGCGUUGUCCGGAAUUAUUGGGCGUAAAGAGCUCGUAGGCGGUUUGUCGCGUCUGCUGUGAAAACGCGAGGCUCAACCUCGCGCCUGCAGUGGGUACGGGCAGACUAGAGUGCGGUAGGGGAGAUUGGAAUUCCUGGUGUAGCGGUGGAAUGCGCAGGAUAUCAGGAGGAACACCGAUGGCGAAGGCAGAUCUCUGGGCCGUAACUGACGCUGAGGAGCGAAAGCGUGGGGAGCGAACAGG
rnacentral:rRNA from 1 species